AUGCACGCUGGCGGCGUGCCUAAUACAUGCAAGUCGAGCGAACAGACGAGGAGCUUGCUCCUCUGACGUUAGCGGCGGACGGGUGAGUAACACGUGGAUAACCUACCUAUAAGACUGGGAUAACUUCGGGAAACCGGAGCUAAUACCGGAUAAUAUAUUGAACCGCAUGGUUCAAUAGUGAAAGACGGUUUUGCUGUCACUUAUAGAUGGAUCCGCGCCGCAUUAGCUAGUUGGUAAGGUAACGGCUUACCAAGGCAACGAUGCGUAGCCGACCUGAGGGGGUGAUCGGCCACACUGGAACUGAGACACGGUCCCGACUCCUACGGGAGGCAGCAGUCGGGACUCUUACGCGAUGGGCGAAAGCCUGACGGAGCAACGCCGCGUGAGUGAUGACGGUCUUCGGAUGGUAAAACGCUGUUAUUAGGGAGGAACAAAUGUGUAAGUAACUAUGCACGUCUUGACGGUACCUAAUCAGAAAGCCACGGCUAACUACGUG
rnacentral:rRNA from 1 species